GGAUGUGACUGUAACUUCGCUAGCUAAAAUGCUUGAGAGCGGACCCUUCAUCCCUUUGAGCAUGUUUCUUCCUAAAAUGCGCGGAUACCGGGAGAUCAAGAUGAGGGAUGUCAUGUGCCUUGUGAACUGUCACCCGCCGUGCGAUAUCUCCAAUUCAUUGCAACUGUUUCAGGAUACCAACUGUUGGGCAGAAGCACAAAUGGGAGCGGGUUGAACCCACUUUCACCUACUGAGCAUAUUCCAUACUGGUCAUCAGAAUGUUUAGAUAGUAUGUUAAUAUGUCAGUUGUUAAGCCUAUGAAGAAUAUAUGUUAAAAGAAGCAAUGUGGCCAGGCAAGCUGGCUCAUGCUUGUAAUCCCAGCGCUUUAAGAGGCUGAGGCAGGAGGAUCCCUUGAGGCCAGGAGUUCAAGACCAGCGUGGGCAACAGGCUUCAAAAAAGAAGAAAUGUAAAAGCAGAGAUGUGAACAAGAGAUAGAGUGCAUCUUUGUUGCUUGGGUGCUCCCCCUGUUGUCCAAUGGCAGAAGCUCCACGUCUUCCUCUGAGGGCUGAAUCUGGUUCUACUUGUGCCCAUUGGAUCCUCUUAUUGAUGAGGGUUACAAAGGCCGAGAUUGGCCUGCCAGAGAGACCCACAGCACCUCUUCAGACUUACUACCUUCUUUCCUUUCCUUCUUUUGACAAAUAUGUAUUGAGCACUCCUAGUCCAGGAAUUGUACCAAAUGCCCAGAAUAUAAAUGAACAAGACAUGGUCCUCAACCACCACCCUAGAGACAGGCAUAAAAAGAACUGACAGUAACAAGCCCCUAAUUUCAUGUAGUAAAUUAUAUCUAAUAAAGUGCCUUCGCUUUUCAUGGAAUCUUCGUAGCAACCAUCUGCAGAAGAGGUAUCAUUAUCCCUGAUGAGAAAUGGAGUCUCAAAGAGUUUAACUUAAAGUGGCUCUCUCUGGGCAAAAACUUCAAAGUUCUUUGGAAAUAAAAUGAGUAAUUCAGUCCCCUACCCUCUAAUUAGAUAGUUUGAUGGGUGUAAAGCUAGAUUAUGCUUGUCAGAACAUACACCAGGGUUUGUCUCUUAGUUACACUGGUCUGAACCCAGGAAUUUCAGGAUAGUGAGGAAUAUAACCAAGCAAAUUACACAGAAAAUGACUGUUCACUUACAGUUAGUUCUGCAUACUGAGAACUCGAGUUCUGAAUGGACUAAAGAUAAAGAAGAAAUACAAGUCUUUAGUUUCGAAUUAGAGAGGUCAUAACUCAGAAUCAAGAAUGCAAGAAUUGUCUUGCAGUAUUUUCUUUUCCCUUUAGCAAACUGCUGCCCAUGAUAUAAAACAGUUACAUCCACUGGAACAAAACAGGAACACUUCUUGUCCCAAAUGCAAACUUUAAUUUAUUUUUAUCUUAUUUUAUUUUAUUUUUGAGACGGAGUCUCGCUCUGUCGCCAGUCGUCAGGCUUGAGUGCAGUGGCGUGAUCUCGGCUCACUGCAACGUCCGCCUCCCAGGUUCAAGUGAUUCUCCUGCCUCAGCCUCCUGUGUAGUUGCCUCAGCAAACUUUAAUUUUCCGUUUUUAUCAUCUGGCUCUCCAGGUAGAAACUACCUUCUUUUCUUUUUGAGAUAGAGUCUCCCUCCAUUGCCCAGGCUGGAGUGCAGUGGCACGAUCUCGACUCACUGCAACCUCUGUCUCGUCUCCCAGGUUCAAGCGAUUCUUGUGCCUCAGCCACCCAAGUAGCUGAGACUACAGGCGCACGCCAUCAUGCCCGGCUAGUUUUUGUAUUUUUUGUAGAGACAUGGUUUUGACAUGUUUCCCCGGUUGGUCUCAAACUCCUGGCCUCAAGUGAUCCACUCGCCUCUGCCUCCCAAAGUGCUAGGAUUACAGGCAUGAGCCACCACGCCCGGCCUGUUGUUGUUUUAAUGUUCUUCCAGUUUUCGUCAAUAACCGCAUAUUUCUUUCGUUCUUUUUUGUUUUGUUUUGUUUUUUGAGACACGGCUAGAGUGCAGUGGCACAAUCACGGCUCACCACAGUCUCCACCUCCUAGGCUCACGAGAUACUCCCACCUCAGCCUCCCCAGUAGCUGAGACUACAGGCUCAUGCCACCAUGCCCAGUUAAUUUUGUUGUUGUUGUACUUUUAGUAGAGACAGUGUUCUGCCCUGUUGCCCAGGCUAGUCACAAACUGCUAGGCUCAAGCAAUCCACACGCCUCAGCCUUCCAAAGUGCUAGGAUUACAAGUGUAAGCCACCAUAUUUCUUUCUUUUUUUUGGAGGCGGGGGCCGGGGAGACAGGGUCUCACUCUGUCGCCCAGGCUGGAGUGCAAUGGCGCGAUCUCAGCUCACCCCAACCUCUGCCUCCCAGGUUCAAGUGAUUCUCCUGCCUCAGCCUCUCAAGUAUCUGGGAUUACAGGCACACACCACUACCACCCAGUUAAUUUUUGUAUUUUUACUAGAGACAGGGUUUCACCAUGUUGUCCAGGCUGGUCUCAAACUCCUGACCACAAAUGACCCACCCGCCUGGGCCUCCCAAAGUACUGUGAGCCACCGUGCCUGGCCCUAGCCACAUAUUUCUUUUGUAAUUCUAAAAAUAUUGUUAUAGAAGUAGGAAAAAAUUUAUCUUGGUUUAUCUCCUGCUGAAAAUGGGCUCUCUCCUGCCUAGGGUUACAGCAAAGUCAAACCUAGAGUCUCUUGAGGCCAGGCAAGGUGGCUUAUGCCUAUAAUCCAGCACUUUGGGGGGCCAAGGUGGGAGGAUUACUUGAGGCCUGGAGUUCAAGACCAGCUUGGGCAACAUAGGCAGACCUCGUCUCUACUAAAAAUAAAUAAAGAAAUAAGUAGUCAGGUGUGGUGAUGUGCACCUGUAGUUCCAGCUACUUGAGAGGCUGAGGAGGGAGAAUUGCUUAAGCCCAGGAGAUGGAGGCUGCAGUGAGCUGUGAUCACACCACUGCACUCCAGCCUGGGCAAGAGAGUGAGCACCCUGUCUCAAAACAACAACAACAACAAACCCUAGAGUUGUUUGUAUGACAGACAAAAUAAUUUUUAAAUGUUUUAUUGAAGUAACAACAUACAAAAAAGUUGUAGAGUAGUACAACCCACUGAAAUUCCACAAACUAACUGGACACUCCCAUCGUAAUCAGCAAUGAGAACAUGGCUAGCAGCCAGGCACAGUGACUCAGGCAUGUAAUCCCAGUAUUUUGGGAGGCCGAAGCAGGCAGAUCACCUGAGGUCAGGAGUUCGAGACCAGCGUGGGCAACAUGGUGAAACCCUGUCCCUACUAAAUACAAAAAUUAGCUGGGCAUGGUGUUGCACGCCUACAGUCCCAGCUACUUGGGAGGCUGAGGCUGGAGAAUGGCUUGAACCCCAGAGGCAGAGGUUGCAGUGAGCUGAGAUUGUGCCACUGCACACAAGCCUGGGUGACAGAGUGAGACUCUCUCUCAAAAAAAAAGGAGUGGGGGGAACAUAUCUAGCACCCCUAGAAGCUUGCCUUAUGUCCUCUUCUAAACCCUCCAGCUUGGGCAACAGAGCAAGACCCUGUAUCUAAAGGAUAGCAGCAUCCUGACUUCUAUCCCUGUAGCUUAGUUUUGCCAGCUUUUAAACUUGAUAUUUAAAUCAUACAGUAUGUACUUGGGCUUCUUUCACUCAGUAUUAUGUUUGUAGAAUUCAUCUAAGUUGUCCUAUGUAAUAAUAGUCCACUCAUUCUUAUUGCUGUAUAGAAUUCCACUGUAUGAAUCUCUGAUUCAUUUAUCUAUCCAAUUGUUGAUGAGCAUUUGGAUAGUUUUCAGCCCGGGGCUGUUAUAAAUAAAGCUAUUACCAACAGCCUCUGGGUGAACAUAUGUUUACUUUUUUUUGUUGUUGUUGUGACAGAGUCUCACUGUGUCACCCAGGCUGGAGUGCAGUGGCACAAUCUUGGCGCACUACAACCUCCACCUCUCAGGUUCAAGCAAUUCUCCUGCCUCAGACUCCCCAGUACCUAGGAUUACAGGUGCGUGCCACCACGCCGGGCCAAUUUUUUUUUUUUUUUUUUUUUUUUGAGAUGGAGUCUGGCUCAGUCGCCCAGACUGGAGUGCAGUGGCGCGAUCUCGGCUCACUGCAACCUCCACCUCCUGGGUUCAAGCAAUUCUUCUGGCUCAGCCUCCUGAGUAGCUGGGACUACAGGCACAUGCCACCACCAAUUUUUGUAUUUUUAGUGGAGAUGGGGUUUCACCGUGUUAGGAUGGUCUUGAUUUCCUGACCUCAUGAUCCACCUGCCUCAGCCUCCCAAAGUGCAGGGAUUACAGGCGGGAGCCACCCCCAGCCGACAACUAAUUUUUAAAAAUUCUUCUGGUGUAGGAUAUUCUCUCUGAUCAACACUGCCCUCAGCCCAUCAUGUAAUUUGCAUGGUUUAUGUGCAUAUAUACCCUCACCGAUAUGUCUAUUUUACACCUCUGUCAGUUUGGCACAUGUUCUGCAAGACGGCAACUUUCUUCCCUUAGGUUUCUGCAGUGUUGGGGAAGGGAUAUAGUCCUCCAAUGUUAACAAGUUAUUCUGGAGAAGAACCAAUGAGUUCACCUGCCUAGGUCAAUCUAAAUCAGGUGUUUUACAUUAAAAAUUUCCCAUUGUUCUUCAGCUUGUUCUUGUGAAAUACUAUUCUACCCUCUGGUCCCAGAACAAAACAGCUGACUCCUCAGAGCACUUGCACCUGCUUCACUACCCAGGGGGACAGAUACCCAGGCUGAGAACUGUAGCUGUGGCAGAACCAUGCUCCCACCAGGGGUAUUCAUGGUUGGAGCUCUCUUAGGAGCUUCGAGAGCUUUCUUCUUCUUCUUCUUUUUUUUUUUUUUUUUGAGACAGGGUCUCACUCUGUCGCCCAGCCUGGAGUACAGUGGUACAAUCUCGGCUCACUGCAGCCUCUGCCUCCUGGGUUCAAGCAAUUCUCCUGCCUCAGCCUCCUGAGUAGCUGGGAUUACAGGCAUGCACCACCACAUUGGGCUAAUUUUUUUGUAUUUUAGUAGAGACGGGGUUUCACCAUGUUGCCCAGGCUGGUCUUGAACUCCUAAGCUCAGACAAUCUGCCUGCCUCGGCCUCCCAAAGUGCUAGGAUUACAAGCGUGAGCCACUGUGCCCGGCCCCCCAAAUAGAUUUUUAAUAAGCGCAUGAAACGAUGAACAUAUUUGUUUCCCAGUUUCCCAACACAUUAUGACUUCUUUGAGGGUAAGGACAAGCUCAUGCCCAUCUCUGGAUUAGCAGCACCUAGCCCAGUGCUUGCAUAUCAGAGUGGCCCAAUAAAUGUUAAAACGCAUACUCUCUGUUUGAAAUGGAUGGAAAG
rnacentral:lncRNA from 1 species